rnacentral:rRNA from 1 species
GUAGGGAAUAUUGGGCAAUGGUCGGAAGACUGACCCAGCCAUGCCGCGUGCAGGAAGACGGCCCUCUGGGUUGUAAACUGCUUUUAUCUGGGAAGAAAAAGGCCAUGCGUGGCAAAUUGCCGGUACCAGAUGAAUAAGCACCGGCUAACUCCGUGCCAGCAGCCGCGGUAAUACGGAGGGUGCGAGCGUUGUCCGGAUUUAUUGGGUUUAAAGGGUGCGUAGGCGGCUGAUUAAGUCAGCGGUGAAAGACUUCGGCUUAACCGGAGCAGUGCCGUUGAUACUGGUUGGCUUGAGUGUCGGAGGGGUACAUGGAAUUGAUGGUGUAGCGGUGAAAUGCAUAGAUACCAUCAGGAACACCGAUAGCGAAGGCAUUGUGCUGGCCGACAACUGACGCUGAUGCACGAAAGUGUGGGGAUCGAACAGGAUUAGAUACCCCUGUAGUCC